AGAGCGAACGCUGGCGGCAGGCCUAACACAUGCAAGUCGAGCGCCCCGCAAGGGGAGCGGCAGACGGGAGAGUAACACGUGGGAACGUACCCUUCAGUUCGGAACAACCCAGGGAAACUUGGGCUAAUACCGGAUACGUCCGUAAGGAGAAAGAUUUAUCGCUGAAGGAUCGGCCCGCGUCUGAUUAGCUAGUUGGUGGGGUAAUGGCCCACCAAGGCGACGAUCAGUAGCUGGUCUGAGAGGAUGAUCAGCCUCAUUGGGACUGAGACACGGCCCAAACUCCUACGGGAGGCAGCAGUGGGGAAUAUUGGACAAUGGGCGCAAGCCUGAUCCAGCCAUGCCGCGUGGAUGAUGAAGGCCUUAGGGUUGUAAAGUCCUUUCGGCGGGGAAGAUAAUGACGGUACCGCAGAAGAAGCCCCGGCUAACUUCGCGCCAGCAGCCGC
rnacentral:rRNA from 1 species